rnacentral:rRNA from 1 species
GAUGAACGCUGGCGGCGUGCUUAACACAUGCAAGUCGAGCGAUGAAGUUUCCUUCGGGAAACGGAUUAGCGGCGGACGGGUGAGUAACACGUGGGUAACCUGCCUCAUAGAGUGGAAUAGCCUUCCGAAAGGAAGAUUAAUACCGCAUAACGUUGAAAGAUGGCAUCAUCAUUCAACCAACGGAGCAACCCGCUAUGAGAUGGACCCGCGGCGCAUUAGCUAGUUGGUGGGGUAACGGCCUACCAAGGCGACGAUGCGUAGCCGACCUGAGAGGGUGAUCGGCCACAUUGGGACUGAGACACGGCCCAGACUCCUACGGAGGCAGCAGUGGGGAAUAUUGCACAAUGGGGGAAACCCUGAUGCAGCAACGCCGCGUGAGUGAUGAAGGUUUUCGGAUCGUAAAGCUCUGUCUUUGGGGAAGAUAAUGACGGUACUCAAGGAGGAAGCCACGGCUAACUACGUGCCAGCCGCCGCCGUAA